GUUACAUUACUAAUCAAUCUUCGAGGGGAAUAAAUCAAAGAGGGGUGUUUUAUCAAAUCUGGAAGUAAUUAAAGGUCAGGAGGACCUCGUGGACGUCCACCGAGGCUGGCUGGAGCCCCACCACACCUGCUCCCAUCACCAGGGACCGUCUGGAAUUCGCACACGCUCCUUUUCCCACACGCUGAUUUAUUAAUCACGUCUCUUUUUUCUCCGAGACGUCACAGGAAGGGUGAAAUCAAAGCACUUUGAACCGGGGCAGAGGGGUUUGGGAUCCAAGACCCCAGGUUUGACUCCCGGCUGCCCCAGUGGGGGACUAGGGGACUAACCCAGUUUCCUCACCCACGGGACAGAAGGCCCCAUGUGAGUCCUUGCAGGGUCCAGGGGUUAAGCAGUUCCCCUGGCCCUGUGCUGGCAUCUCAGGCACCGCUCACAGUGCCCCAGGAUCAGCCAUGGCUUGCCCACUUUUAGCGCCCCCCCAUUAACCAGUGGGCGGGACCUCGCAGAACUGCGGUGGUGUGGCCGUUCUGUAGGGCCCCCUCUAGACAGCAGGAGCAACCAGCAUGCUUGUCUCUGAGACAGCGACAUCACAGUCACACGCAUGGGGCGCUUCUGGGCCACACGGAGUACAGUAGAGGAGCAAGCCUACCCCUGCCACCCCCAGCCCUUCGAGCUUGUGGAACUCGACACACCUAUGGCAGAUAGUAAAAAUAUGAAUUUGAUCUCCCAAGACAGAGAAGCAGGGCGGUGUGAGCUGAAUCGUUAUCUGCGGGGUCAGAGCGUUGUGGACAGUUUCCAGGCCGAAACCGCACGGCUCCUGGAGACCCCCUAGGCAAUGCCGGGGAGCCACCGCUGCCAGCCAGCGAUCCCAGCACACAGGACCCGGCCUUGACCACAGGCCCGCACUGAGCAGUGCCCUUCCCAGAGAGAGAGAAGCCCCAGGCCCCAGACCGCCCUAGACACAGACCAGCCAUGGGAAAGCCGAGACCCAGAGAGGUUCAGCAGCUUCCCCCGGGUCACGCAGCUCCAAGCACAGCUCCCCUCCAAAGGCUGCCGCCUCCCCCACGUCCACCCUGGCACCCCCAGACUCACAGGCUGUGAGCGAGCAUCGAUAAAUCAAGACGAGUGAAAUACCUACUUUGAAGCGCUGCCGUGGUGAUCCAGGGAGAUAAAGGGCCUGAGAGGUUCAGUGUGUGAUUCCGCAAGAAGGGUUCGCCCAGUUCCUGCCUCUCCCAGCUGGCAAGACACGUUUGUAAACACCGAGGGCAGAGAUUCAGACAGAUUGGGGCUCAGGUCGGACGCACACCGCUGGCUGUGUGACCUGGGUGACUCACUUGACCCUUCCUGCGCUCCUCCGGCAAACCAGGCUGCUGGCAGUGCAAAUCCACCACGCUGCAGCGGGAAUUCAAGGAGAAGGACCAGGGCACCCUUGAUAAAUGUCAUCUGUAUGCUUUGAAAAACAAGAACAUAGUGACACCUAGGACGGCAGCACAGGCCUGUCUGUAGUCCCAGAAAUCUGCAAGGCUGAGGCAGGAAAGUCACAAGUUUGAGUCCAACUCGGGUAACUCAGCAAGACUUUGUCUCAUAAUAAAAUAAGAAAAAGACUGGGGAUGUAGCUCAGUGCAAAGGCCUGGUCCAGCCCUCAGUACCACAAAAACCAGCGGUGAGCUGGUGGCACCUCAGAGCAGGGUGAGGCCGGGGAGUACUGGCCAGAGAGCCUUUGUGAAGACGGGGAUUUUGUGACACCCCAAGGGGAGACCCCAGAACUACUUCACUUGGUGCUUGCUUUGUGCUGGGCGCUGGACUGGACACUGUCCAUGAAGAGGCCAGAGAGCCCUGCUACCCUCCUCUCACUUAACCGUGGCAAUAACUGAGGCUCAGAGAGGAGAGGUCACUUCCUCCAGCCACACAGCAAAGGCAAGACAGUGGAAUUUCAACUGAGGCCAGUUCCAGGCCUGGACUCCACUUGCCGGUCUCCCUGCCACGCAUGUUUAGUGAAACGCAAUCCACCUGCCUCACAUGCAGCCCUGAGCCCCAGCUCUGGCCUCAGGCAGCACCGCUGUGACGUGGAGGCGGACACCUCUGCCGCUUAGGAGGGACAGGAGAGCAGAUGGCCUGGAAAGGCGCAGACGUGGGGGGUCUUUGGGACUCUCACAGCUUCUCCCUUAGCAAUAAGGUAGGCGACACCACUGAGGAGGGGACACAGAUCUGGGUUCUGCAACAACAAAAAAAGCCCAAAUCCCACAAAGCAGCAGAACCACAACCAGUGCAGACUGCUGCUCCUGCCCCCCUCCAGAGGGAAGCACAUCCCAAACUUGUGGGGCCCCAAGAGUACACUAGCCUGGCUCCAGCCCCCACCCCUCCUGUGCCGAGACCCCGCUCUUUGUCAUGUGAAUGAAUCAUUUUAAUAGGGUCUUCUAGCAGAAGCAUUCAUCACCUCUGUGUAACAAGGAUUUUCCUUUUUGUUCGACUUAAACGAUUAAGUAGGUAAUAAACCGCCUAUCAGCUCCCCCUGGCA